ensembl:lncRNA
CGGCAGGAGAAGCUCUCUCACUCUCUUCUGUCUCUGAUUAUUUCUGCAACUCAUCCCUCACUGCGCUGCGACUGGCUGACCUACACGAGGACAAGGCGGGGGGUGAAGAAGCAGCAGCAACACCUGCCUAACCCUUCACUGCUGCCGCCAUCCCUCCGUCCGUCCCCGCUUCCUGCCCAGUCUGGGACCUAGCCUCCACCGAUCUCUCCGCCACCCCCGCUGCCAUCAUGUGCGACUGUUUCCACCUGGCCUUUCCCAACUGGCACGCUGCCUCCUCUGGGACGAGACCUGGACGAAGGCUGCAAGGCCCAGAGCCUGCCACAGAGGACUCAAUAUGUGAUGAGCCAUCUGAGUUUGCAGAGAGUGAGAGACCACGCCCACAAGGGUCAUCUCCAGUUGAGGAGUUUCCUGAGACUGAAAAAUACAGUGACAGUGAUAAAGAGUGUGAAGCAGAGCAUCACCCACACCACAAAGGUGGGACUGGAAAGAAAACUAAAAAGUCUGGGCUCGGGUCCAUGUUUGAAAAGCGCUCUACUCCAAAGAUGAGUAAACUCAAGGUGAGAUAUUUCCACCUUUUCCUCUCUGUACUGCAUU